rnacentral:pre_miRNA from 1 species
UGGGUUUGACAUCAUCAUACUUGGGAUGUAUUGACACAAAGUCCCAAGCAGGCUGAUGUCAGGCCCA